rnacentral:rRNA from 1 species
CCGAUGGCGACCGGCGCACGGGUGAGUAACACGUAUCCAACCUGCCGAUAACUCGGGGAUAGCCUUUCGAAAGAAAGAUUAAUAUCCGAUAGGAUAUCAAGGUCGCAUGAUCUUGAUAUUAAAGAAUUUCGGUUAUCGAUGGGGAUGCGUUCCAUUAGUUAGUUGGCGGGUAACGGCCCACCAAGACGACGAUGGAUAGGGGUUCUGAGAGGAAGGUCCCCCACAUUGGAACUGAGACACGGUCCAAACUCCUACGGGAGGCAGCAG